AUUUGGGUCUGCGGUCCCAAGAUACUCAAGUGGGCUCUGGGGUUAAUUUGGGUCUGGGGUCUCAGGGCACUCGGGGAGGGCUCUGGGGUUAAUUUGGGUCUGGGGUCUCAGGGCUCUCAGGGAGGGCUCUGGGGUCAAUUUGUGUCUGGGGUCUCAGGGCACUCGGGGAAGGCCCUUGAGGUUAAUUUGGGACUGGGGUCUCAGGGCACUCUUGGAGGGUUCUGAGUUUAUUUUGGGUCUGGGGGGUCAGAGUUCUCGAAAAGGGCUCUGGGGUUAAUUUGGUUCUGGGGUCUCAGCACACUGGGGGUGGGCUCUAGAGUUAAUUUGGGUCUGGGGUCUCGGGGCACUGGGGGAGGGCUCUGUGGUUAAUUUGGGUCUGGGGUCUCAGGAUACUCGGGGAGGACUCUAGGGUUAAUUUGGGACUGGGGUCUCAGGGACUCGGGGAAGCGCCUGGGGUUAAUUUGGGUCUGGGGUCUCA
rnacentral:lncRNA from 12 species